rnacentral:rRNA from 1 species
UGCGUAGGCGGUCCUACAAGUCAGAGGUGAAAGGCUACGGCUCAACCGUAGUAAGCCUUUGAAACUGUAGGACUUGAGUGCAGGAGAGGAGAGUGGAAUUCCCAGUGUAGCGGUGAAAUACGUAGAUAUUGGGAGGAACACCAGUUGCGAAGGCGGCUCUCUGGACUGUAACUGACGCUGAGGCACGAAAGCGUGGGGAGCGAACAG